UACGUAGGGAGCGAGCGUUGUCCGGAAUUACUGGGUGUAAAGGGAGCGUAGGCGGGACUGCAAGUCAGGUGUGAAAUGUAGGGGCUUAACCCCUGCCCUGCACUUGAAACUGUGGUUCUUGAGUGAAGUAGAGGUAAGCGGAAUUCCUAGUGUAGCGGUGAAAUGCGUAGAUAUUAGGAGGAACAUCAGUGGCGAAGGCGGCUUACUGGGCUUUAACUGACGCUGAGGCUCGAAAGCGUGGGGAG
rnacentral:rRNA from 1 species